rnacentral:rRNA from 1 species
CGAGGAACACGUGAGCAACCUGUCCUUGAGUGGGGAAAACCGUGGAAACGACGGCUAAUACCGAAUGUGGCGCCCGGAGACAUCUCCCGGAGCGCUAAAGGGGGCCCGGCAAGGCUCUCCCUCGUUCGAGGGGCUCGCGCACCAUCAGCUUGUUGGCGGGUAACGGCCCACCAAGGCUUACGGUUAGCUGGUCUGAGAGGAUGGCCAGCCGCACUGGGACUGAGAUACUGCCCAGACUCCUACGGGAGGCUGCAGUCGAGGAUCAUUCGCAAUGGGGGAAACCCUGACGAUGCGACGCUGCGUGGAGGAUGAAAAGGCCUUCGGGUUGUAAACUCCUGUCAUGAUGGAAAAGGAGAGGGGACCCAACACGUCCCUGAUUUGAUGGUACAUCAAGAGGAAGAGACGGCUAACUCUGUGCCAGCCGCCGC